UUCAGGUAGCUCAGUUGGUAGAGCAUGAGGUUUUAAUCUCAAGGUCAUGUGUUUGAGACUCACAUAGGGCAAAA